AGAGAGAGAGAGAGAGAGAUGUGCUGGUAUUUUUGCUAAAAUUGAAACGAUAAAAUUAAAAUGUCAGAGUGCGUAAAGGUUUAGUUUUUUGUUUUUUGUAUAAUUUGUCAAAAUGAUGUAUCCACUAGGUCCCAUGAUUUUAGAAUAAAAAAUGACAGAUGGCAUUGCACAUCAUCAGAGACACACUCCCCCAAUUUGGAUUUCAAAUUUGGAUAAAAUUUAUGCACUCCUUUCAAUUUUGACUUUUUUUGCCAAAAUUAAAAUGAUAGAAUUAAAACAAAAAAGUUUGCAAAGGUUGACUUUUUUGUAUAAUUUGGCCUAACUUUUAUUUAUGUAUUAAUCACAAAUUUGUUGGUCAAUAGACUACUUAAAUACACUCAUAAAUAGGCAAGCGAAACAGAAAAAUAAAGUGCAUAAAUUGCUAACAUAGCCUUUUUAGGGUAAGAAUUAUUAUUUGAGAGGGAGGUAGGAGAUAUGAUGGGGAAUGAGUAAAAUAAAAGAAAAAUGAUUGUUUGUUAAGUUUAU
rnacentral:misc_RNA from 1 species